UCCUUCUUAUCGAAGGCAGUUUCUCAAGAGUGCUUCCCUUGCGGGAAUAGCAACAUGAGAUAGGGGUUGCGCUCGUUGCGGGACUUAACCCAACAUCUCACGACACGAGCUGACGACAACCAUGCAGCACCUCUGCUGGCUUCCUUGCGGAUCAGCCGAUGUUUCCACGGCUGUCACCUACAUGUCAAGCCCAGGUAAGGUUCUUCGCGUUGCGUCGAAUUAAACCACAUACUCCACCGCUUGUGCGGGCCCCCGUCAAUUCCUUUGAGUUUCAGUCUUGCGACCGUACUCCCCAGGCGGCGAACUUAACGCGUUAGCUUCGACACUGAGAGCCUAGUUGCUCCCAACGUCCAGUUCGCAUCGUUUAGGGCGUGGACUAC
rnacentral:misc_RNA from 1 species